UCAUUUCAGCCUAUCGCCGUCCACUGC
rnacentral:sRNA from 1 species